UCGUCCAAGAGCAGCUCCUAUUUAUGGAUUGAAAUCAGCAAUUUUUCUCAUUUUAGCUUAGACAAAAUUUCCAGCUUUCUAGUUUUUUCUCUCUUGGCUAUGAAACAACCCUAUAAUUCCACAAGGGUUCUUGGGAUUGAACUUCCUUCCAAUCUAAAGAUAAGUAAUCUAAAGUGCGGGAAGUCAAGUUGGGCUGGUAUUGGAGUUUUACAACCAGGAAUAGGUGCUUCGGCAGACACGCCUCCUCAGUAGGAGCCUAUGAUAUCCAUCUACUAUUGGUGAGCUCCAGUUUGCUUUGGGGCUUUUCAAGUCGGUUCUAAAUAUUUUUGGUAUUGUCUAAAAUUUAAUAGUAUGGCGGGGGUUUGUCCCGACCUUAGAUAAAUUUUGUGUAUCGUUUAGAGGCUUUGUAGACCAAUGUAAAAGCAUGGUAGUGUGUUAUCUUGUAGAUGUUAUGGCCCCAACGAUCAAGUCUAUUAUAUAUAUAGUUUUAGGGCUUAUCGUUUAUAUUAUUUUUUUCAUUAAGGCAUUAUAUCCGUAUAUGGAAAAACCAUUGCCUAUUAUAGUUGCAUGUAUGU